UUGCAGUUAAAAAGCUCGUAGUUGGAUUUCGGAGUGGGCCAGUUGGUCCGCCGCAAGGUGUGUGUACUGACUGGUUUGCUCUUCUUCGCAAAGACUGCGUGUGCUCUUCAGUGAGUGUGCGUGAGGAUUUACGACGUUUACUUUGAAAAAAUUAGAGUGUUCAAAGCAGGCUAUUGCUUGAAUACAUGAGCAUGGAAUAAUGGAAUAGGACUUUGGUCCCAUUUUGUUGGUUUCUAGGGCCGAAGUAAUGAUUAAGAGGGACAAUUGGGGGCAUCCGUAUUUCGUUGUCAGAGGUGAAAUUCUUGGAUUUACGAAAGACGAACAACUGCGAAAGCACUUGCCAAGAGUGUUUUCAUUAAUCAAGAACGAAAGUUAGAGGAUCGAAGACGAUCAGAUACCGUCCUAGUUCUAACCAUAAACGAUGUCGACUAGGGAUCAGCGGGCGUUAUCGUGCGACCCCGUUGGCACCUUACGGGAAACCAAAGUUUCUGGAUUCCGGGGGAAGUAUGGUUGCAAAGCUGAAACUUAAAGGAAUUGACGGAAGGGCACCACCAGGAGUGGAGCCUGUGGCUCAAUUUGACUCAACACGGGAAAACUUACCAGGUCCAGACAUAGUAAGGAUUGACA
rnacentral:rRNA from 1 species